GACAGAGGGUGCAAACGUUGUUCGGAAUUACUGGGCGUAAAGCGCGUGUAGGCGGCUAUGUAAGUCGGGCGUGAAAUCCCACGGCUCAACCGUGGAAGUGCACCCGAAACUGCGUAGCUAGAGUCCUGGAGAGGAAGGUGGAAUGCUUGGUGUAGAGGUGAAAUUCGUAGAUAUUCGGAAGAACACCAGUGGCGAAGGCGGCUCACUGGCCCGGUACUGACGCUGAGGUGCGAAAGCGUGGGGAGCAAACAGG
rnacentral:rRNA from 1 species